UUUUCCUACUCUCACGCGUCUCUUUCUCUUUCCCUACUCUCACACGUCUCUUUCUUUUUCUGAGAAAUCAGUUCACGCGUAUUGCUCCCCUCCCCAAAAAGAACAAUGAGUCUCUUUCAACUUUCCCAAAUUCAGCACAAAUCAAUUGACCCUUCCCCUUCUCUAUUCACCACCUCUUCUCCACCACCCCAAGAUAACAAACCCUGGUCGCUUCCACUGUAGAGCACUGUCAUUUAUUUUGGCGGUGCUUCGAUGACGUCGUUGAAGCGAUGCCACCCCCUACUGUUCGCUUUCAUCGUGAUGCUGAAAACUUAAUUUUCAUCAUCAUGAUUUAUUCAGUUGGUCUUUCUUAUUGUUGAAAUUAUUUAUGUUUCGUCAUGUACGAUUUUGUGUGCUACUAAUUUCUCGUGAAUUUCGUCUUCUCCGACGAACUUGGUCAUUGACUAUUGCUCUUUGUGUUAUUGUCUGGAUUGUCUUUUGAAGUUUGUUUGAUAAUUUCAUAUCUUGCUUUUGCUA